UUGGUGUUGGAUUGGUGGGUUGGUGGAUUGACUUUUGUUGUUGGGUAAAAUUUAUUUUUCUAACCAUUCUUUUUUAUUUUUGUUUCAUUUAUAUUAUUUAUUUAUGUAUAAUUUUUCUAUUUUAUCAGUUUAAUGUAUUACUCAAUUGAGUUAAGUUAGGAUAUUAUUUAAUUAUAUUGUCCAAUUUUUUAUUUUAUCAAUUUAUUAUAUUAUUCGAUUUUUCAUAUUAGUGUUUGUUUUUAUCCUACUUAUG
rnacentral:lncRNA from 1 species